rnacentral:rRNA from 1 species
CAGUCGCCGCGGGAAUACAGAGGGUGCGAGCGUUAAUCGGAUUUACUUGGCGUAAAGCGUGCGUAGGCGGCUUCUUAAGUCGGAUGUGAAAUCCCUGAGCUUAACUUAGGAAUUGCAUUCGAUACUGGGAAGCUAGAGUAUGGGAGAGGAUGGUAGAAUUCCAGGUGUAGCGGUGAAAUGCGUAGAGAUCUGGAGGAAUACCGAUGGCGAAGGCAGCCAUCUGGCCUAAUACUGACGCUGAGGUACGAAAGCAUGGGGAGCAAACAGGAUUAGAUACCCGCGUAGUCCCUGUCUCUUAUAC